rnacentral:rRNA from 1 species
CUACGGAGGGUGCGAGCGUUAAUCGGAAUUACUGGGCGUAAAGGGUGCGUAGGCGGCUUGAUAAGUCGGAUGUGAAAGCCCCGGGCUUAACCUGGGAAUUGCAUUCGAUACUGUCAGGCUAGAGUAUGUCAGAGGUUGGCGGAAUUCCUGGUGUAGCGGUGAAAUGCGUAGAUAUCAGGAGGAACACCAGUGGCGAAGGCGGCUAACUGGGACAAUACUGACGCUGAGGCACGAAAGCGUGGGGAGCAAACAGGAUUAGAAACCCUAGUAGUCC